rnacentral:rRNA from 1 species
UACGGAGGGUGCAAACGUUGCUCGGAAUCAUUGGGCGUAAAGCGCACGUAGGCGGUCCAGCAAGUCGGGUGUGAAAGCCCUCGGCUUAACCGAGGAAGUGCAUUCGAAACUACUGGACUUGAAUACUGGAGAGGAUCGCGGAAUUCCCGGUGUAGAGGUGAAAUUCGUAGAUAUCGGGAGGAACACCAGUGGCGAAGGCGGCGAUCUGGACAGAUAUUGACGCUGAGGUGCGAAAGCGUGGGGAGCAAACAGGG